rnacentral:rRNA from 1 species
GGAAGGUGCAAGCGUUAAUCGGAAUUACUGGGCGUAAAGCGCGCGUAGGCGGCUUCGUAAGUCGGGUGUGAAAUCCCUGGGCUCAACCUGGGAAUUGCAGUCGAUACUGGGAAGCUCGAGUUCGGUAGAGGGUGACGGAAUUCCCGGUGUAGCGGUGAAAUGCGUAGAUAUCGGGAGGAACAUCGAUGGCGAAGGCAAUCACCUGGGCCUGAACUGACACUGUGACACGAAAGCGUGGGUAGCAAACAGGAUUAGAUACCCUGGUAGUCCACGCCGUAAACGAUGGGAACCUGACGUCGGUUUGCUCUGCGAAUCGGUGUCGAAGCUAACGCGCUAAGUUCCCCGCCUGGGGAGUACGGCCGCAAGGUUG